CGCCGUGUCGGUGGCUCCGGGGAUCCCCGGGGUCUGAUGCAAGAGGGA
rnacentral:sRNA from 1 species